rnacentral:rRNA from 1 species
GAUGAACGCUGGCGGCGUGCCUAAUACAUGCAAGUCGAGCGAACAGACGAGGAGCUUGCUCCUCUGACGUUAGCGGCGGACGGGUGAGUAACACGUGGAUAACCUACCUAUAAGACUGGGAUAACUUCGGGAAACCGGAGCUAAUACCGGAUAAUAUAUUGAACCGCAUGGUUCAAUAGUGAAAGACGGUUUUGCUGUCACUUAUAGAUGGAUCCGCGCCGCAUUAGCUAGUUGGUAAGGUAACGGCUUACCAAGGCAACGAUGCGUAGCCGACCUGAGAGGGUGAUCGGCCACACUGGAACUGAGACACGGUCCAGACUCCUACGGGAGGCAGCAGUUGGGAAUCUUCCGCAAUGGGCGAAAGCCUGACGGAGCAACGCCGCGUGAGUGAUGAAGGUCUUCGGAUCGUAAAACUCUGUUAUUAGGGAAGAACAAAUGUGUAAGUAACUACGCACGUCUUGACGGUACCUAAUCAGAAAGCCACGGCUAACUACGUG